CAGCCCCUCCCGCUCUCCAUUCCGUGGCAGAGUGCCCAGGACGGUGAGACCUGGGGAUGUGACUGCUGCCUCUGCUCGAUAAGGCUACUGAGGCACUGGG